rnacentral:lncRNA from 1 species
GCGGCCGGUGUCCUCGUUGAGGAUAAGGAGAGAGAAUGUGUUGAGCUUUCUCUGAGUGAGGCUUGUGCCUGUUACUCUCAUUAUUUCACGAGUAGAGCCCAGUCUGCCUGGAACAUUGGAAAACAACAGGACAUACAAGCAUUGAAGGCCCCACUGUGGCCACUUCAGGAGAAAAUGGCAAAGACAAGUCCUGAUUAAUGAAGUCACCUAUGACAACUCCACUUCAGACAAUUAACUCAAGUUCCCAUCUUCAGCUCCCGGAGAACUGAGACACAUCAUUAACUGUAAAUUAUAGUGACUCCUCCACCCUGAGGUGUCCUAAACAUUCUUGUGACCAGAGAAUUUUCAGCUGAUAAACUUAAGAUAUGAUAGAAAAAAAUGGAGUUGGGGAACCAGUUACUCUAUGAAAACUUUUGUAAGUAGUUUCCCAUGGAUUAAUAAGAAAAUCUCCGCUCAUAUUACACAAAGAUAAUUUCAACCCCAUUAUAGACACAUGAUGUUAUUAUUUGUGGUAAGCCAACAUUUUCAUGGCACAUGCGAUGUUGCCAGUGACAGAGCAGGAGCAUUGCCAUCUUGGACAAGCACUGCCAUUUUAAAGUUCCCCUUGAUCAAAAACUGCCUAAAUCAAACCCAAAGGGCAUCAGCCUAAUGGCUAAUGUCAGUAUGACCAUAAACCACAACUGACAUCUCUGACCAGAAACAUUCCAACCCUAAGAUAAACCCCUCCCCGACCAAGGACAUGCCAGCGCCAAGAUAACCUCCCCUUUGACCGGAGAAAUGUCAGCCCCAAGACAAUCUCCUCUCCAACCAGAGACAUUCCAACCCCACAAUAAGCUUCUCCUCCACACAGAAACAUUCCAAGCCUGUGAUAAGCUCCCUCUCCCUGAACCCUUAAAUAUUCUUAGUCUGUCAGAGAGAGUGCUCCUGACCAAAAUCAGCCAGAAGCCCC